GCUGGGCGUGGUGGUGCACACCUGUAAUCCCAGCUACUUGGGAGGCUGAGGCAGGAGAAUUGCUUGAACCCAGGAGGCAGAGGUUGCAGUGAGCCGAGAUCGUGCCACUGCACUCCAGCCUGGGUAACAGAGUGAGACUCUAUCUCAA
rnacentral:sRNA from 1 species